GACGAACGCUGGCGGCGUGCUUAACACAUGCAAGUCGAACGGAAAGGCCCUGCUUUUGUGGGGUGUUCGAGUGGCGAACGGGUGAGUAACACGUGAGUAACCUGCCCUUGACUUUGGGAUAACUUCAGGAAACUGGGGCUAAUACCGGAUAGGAGCUCCUGCUGCAUGGUGGGGGUUGGAAAGUUUCGGCGGUUGGGGAUGGACUCGCGGCUUAUCAGCUUGUUGGUGGGGUAGUGGCUUACCAAGGCUUUGACGGGUAGCCGGCCUGAGAGGGUGACCGGCCACAUUGGGACUGAGAUACGGCCCAGACUCCUACGGGAGGCAGCAGUGGGGAAUAUUGCACAAUGGGCGGAAGCCUGAUGCAGCAACGCCGCGUGCGGGAUGACGGCCUUCGGGUUGUAAACCGCUUUCGCCUGUGACGAAGCGUGAGUGACGGUAAUGGGUAAAGAAGCACCGGCUAACUACGUGCCAGCAGCCGCGGUGAUACGUAGGGUGCGAGCGUUGUCCGGAUUUAUUGGGCGUAAAGGGCUCGUAGGUGGUUGAUCGCGUCGGAAGUGUAAUCUUGGGGCUUAACCCUGAGCGUGCUUUCGAUACGGGUUGACUUGAGGAAGGUAGGGGAGAAUGGAAUUCCUGGUGGAGCGGUGGAAUGCGCAGAUAUCAGGAGGAACACCAGUGGCGAAGGCGGUUCUCUGGGCCUUUCCUGACGCUGAGGAGUGAAAGCGUGGGGAGCGAACAGGCUUAGAUACCCUGGUAGUCCACGCUGUAAACGGUGGGUACUAGGUGUGGGGCCCAUUCCACGGGUUCCGUGCCGUAGCUAACGCUUUAAGUACCCCGCCUGGGGAGUACGGCCGCAAGGCUAAAACUCAAAGGAAUUGACGGGGCCCCGCACAAGCGGCGGAGCAUGCGGAUUAAUUCGAUGCAACGCGUAGAACCUUACCUGGGUUUGACAUGGAUCGGGAGUGCUCAGAGAUGGGUGUGCCUCUUUUGGGGUCGGUUCACAGGUGGUGCAUGGCUGUCGUCAGCUCGUGUCGUGAGAUGUUGGGUUAAGUCCCGCAACGAGCGCAACCCUUGUUCACUGUUGCCAGCACGUUAUGGUGGGGACUCAGUGGAGACCGCCGGGGUCAACUCGGAGGAAGGUGGGGAUGACGUCAAGUCAUCAUGCCCCUUAUGUCCAGGGCUUCACGCAUGCUACAAUGGCUGGUACAGAGAGUCGCAAGCCGGUGACGGCAAGCUAAUCUCUUAAAGCCAGUCUCAGUUCGGAUUGUAGGCUGCAACUCGCCUACAUGAAGUCGGAAUCGCUAGUAAUCGCGGAUCAGCACGCCGCGGUGAAUACGUUCCCGGGCCU
rnacentral:rRNA from 1 species